AUGACUUUGAUCUCCGUCCUCAUCUGGACUCUCCUCUGCUGCUGCUUCACAGAGUCCAGAGGCCAGGUCACAGUGACUCAGCCUGCAGCAGUGACAUCUGCUCUGGGAGGCUCUGCAACCAUCAACUGUAGGACCAGUCAGGAUGUUUAUAAUGGGGACUUCUUAGCCUGGUACCAACAGAGAGAUGAAGAGACUCCUAAACUUCUCAUCUACAGGGCUGACCAGGUGGAAUCAGGGAUUCCAGAUCGUUUUUCUGGCAGUGGAUCAAACUCUGACUUCACUCUGACCAUCAGUGGAGUUCAGGCUGAAGAUUCAGGAGUUUAUUACUGUCAGAGUGUUCAUGAUAUCAACAGUCAGUGGGUGUUCACACAGUGAA